rnacentral:rRNA from 1 species
CCUACGGGUGGCAGCAGUGAGGAAUAUUGGUCAAUGGACGAGAGUCUGAACCAGCCAAGUAGCGUGAAGGAUGACUGCCCUAUGGGUUGUCAACUUCUUUUAUAUGGGAAUAAAAUGUUCCACGUGUGGGGUUUUGUAUGUACCAUAUGAAUAAGGAUCGACUAACUCCGUGCCAACAGCCGCGGUAAUACGGAGGAUCCGAGCGUUAUCCGGAUUUAUUGGGUUUAAAGGGAGCGUAGGUGGAUUGUUAAGUCAGUUGUGAAAGUUUGCGGCUCAACCGUAAAAUUGCAGUUGAAACUGGCAGUCUUGAGUACAGUAGAGGUGGGCGGAAUUCGUGGUGUAGCGGUGAAAUGCUUAGAUAUCACGAAGAACUCCGAUUGCGAAGGCAGCUCACUGGACUGCAACUGACACUGAGGCUCGAAAGUGUGGGUAUCAAACAGGAUUAGAUACCCUUGUAGUC